GGAAGAGUAGCUAAAGUGGCUUAGCACCCCGCGGUGACGGGGGGGUAUGUGAGUUCGAGCCUCACCUCUUCCUCCA
rnacentral:tRNA from 1 species